GCCUUCUUGGUGUAAUGGUCAGCACACUCGGCGCGUAUUCGAGAGGUCCGAGGUUCGAGUCCCGGCGAGGGCA
rfam:Stegodyphus mimosarum contig84668, whole genome shotgun sequence.